ACAGGUGUUGCAUGGCUGUCGUCAGCUCGUGUCGUGAGAUGUUCGGUUAAGUCCGCUAACGAGCGCAACCCUCGUCGUAUGUUAUAUGUGUCAUACGAGACUGCCGGUAAAAAGCCGGAGGAAGGUGAGGAUGAUGUCAAGUCAGCAUGACCUUUAUAUCCAGGGCUACACACACGCUACAAUGGUCUGUACAAUGGGUAGCCAAGCCGCGAGGCGGAGCCAAUCCUGAAAGCAGGCCUCAGUUCAGAUUGCAGUCUGCAACUCGACUGCAUAAAGCCGGAGUUGCUAGUAACCGCAGGUCAGCAAUACUGCGGUGAAUACGUUCCCGGGUCUU
rnacentral:rRNA from 1 species